GGUCCCUGCCCACCCUGGCCAUGUCAGGUGUGGGGCCCUGGGCACCUCCAGCUCUCUGCCUGGGAAAGAAAAAGAGCCCAUUUCCAUGGGACGUGCCCUCAUGGGGAGGCACAGCAGACCACCCAAGGCAGCACAUGCAGUGUCCCCGAAGUGACUAGUGCAGGCUUCCUGGGGAACCAUUUGAGCUUUGAAGGUGGGGAAGAGGAAUGUCAGAGAGUGGGCAAAAUACAACAGGAAAGGUCCAAAUUCACCCUCUGAGGGCCCGGGGCACGGGGGCAGCCUGCUCUCCUCCUGGGGCCCUGUUCCCUGUGGGGACUGGAAGAGAGGCUUUGAGUCUAGGGCCUGGGGCAGCCAGGACUGACGGGGGUGCAGUCCUAGAAGGGUCGGCAGUCACGGUGGCCCACCAUGGCAUCUCCGUAUCCUUGCUGCAUGCUGCACCCACUCCAGCUGCCAGAGCACGGAGGCAGAGACGUGGGAGCCGAUGAAGGUCGCACGCCAGCCUCCCACCUGUGAGACAAAGGGCCCUGUCACUGGAAGCCACGUCCAGCCUGGCCCCGCAGGAGCCAGGGCUCUGCGCCUAACGGAGGACUGAUGGGAAAGGGAAGGCUGGCAGCAGUGAGGGGCCAAUCAUCUGAAUCACGUUCCUGUAUUCAGGAUUUGCCCCUCCAAAACAGUUUUGAUGGGAGACACCAGCCACCUACUAUUAUGCAGCCAUGCACCACAUAACGACGUUUCAGGCAACAAUGACUGCACAUACCACAGUGGUCCCGUAAAAUUACAAUGGAGCUGAAAAAUUCCUAUUGCCUAGUGACGUCACAGCCAUUGUAAGGUCAGAGUGCAACACAUCACUCAUGUGUUUGUGUUGAUGCUGCUGUAAACAAACCUACCGCACUGCCAGUCAUAUAAAAGUAUAGCCCAUACAAUUAUGUGUAGUACUUAAUACUUAAUAAUAAUAAACAACUAUGUUGCUGGUUUACGUUGACCCCUCCCAACCAGAGCUGUCCCUGAACUCCUGAUUCCGGUCCACUGUUACCGGGGAGACUGCUGUCCCCAGGCCUCCCAAUGUCUUCACAGGUUUUUUGACCUUGGCAAUGUUCCCGUCAGACUGCAGAAGAAUUGACUAUUCCCGUUCAGGUAGAUGAUGACCGGCCCCAUAAACAGCCACCAAGGGUCACCCUCUCCCUCCCCAGCCCUGAAGGCCAAGAAAUGGGACUGGGCUCCUUGGAUUUAUGACCUUCUGGCUCCUGCAGAGAGAGGAGGACUGGGGCUUGACAAGGACACGGGGCUAAGGACUGUCCUUGGAUCUCAGUAGGACAGCUGACCUUCCCUCCACCCAAUGACUGCUCCAGUCUGAUCGUUCCUGGCCACCUGAUAAUCUCUUUGUGCAAACACCAGGAAGCCCUGGUUAGAGGUGUGGACACCAGGUGUUCUUGAGGAGGACAGUGGUGACUCAGUUUUAUCUGACCCCAUGCUCUCAAGUUCCUUUUCUGUGAGACACUUCUUAUGUGCUACUUUGGACCCUCUCACUUAUCUGUGGGCCAUUGGCCACUGGCCCCAGCCACAGCUGAGACCACCAACUCUGCAUGGACUCAGACAGGCUUCACCCAGGCACACCCAGCAGCCCCUGCCUCAGGUCCCAGCUAUGCACCCCUUAGGCUUGCCUGGAUACUAGGAUGGGAGACACUGCAUCCAUCCAUCCACGACCAGCAAGUAGAGGCAAUUAAUACCCUUCAGGCGACCCAACGCGAGCUGGGAGCCUGUGCACAAAUUAUUCUCCUUUUCUCCCAAAAGGAUUGUGCCGAGAAACAUUUGUGCAGCUUCCCGGAGGAUGGCCCUUGGGGUCGAGCAAGCAGUUAUGUUUGUUACCAAGCCUCGGCCAGCUCCAUAACACACCCUGGAGUUGGCACCACUUCCUUCCCAGCUACACUCCCCUUUCUCUCACACCUGCUCCCUGGGGUCACCUCCCUACCAAAGGAGGGGCACAGGAGCCUUUGUUUCCCGCUCUGCUUUCCAAGAAACCCAAACCAAGCCAUGCUGAGUUCCUUCCAGAGCUCCACUUCCACUUCACGGGAUCCUCUUAGUACCACAGUCAGCACCCAACAUGCCUCUGAGAUGGGCGUGUGAUCCUGACUGGCCAGUCGGCGCCUUAUUUCUCUGGCCACAGAACUUGGCUCAGGAGAUGACAUGUGACCAAUCCGAAUUUUCCCUGGGGACUGAUACGUGGACACCAGGGACCUCGUGCACCAGUAAGGUCGCUGCCUUCCUUCUCUGCCAGAGAUGAUUCUGUCUCAUCCAAUCAAGACUUGAGUGGACUCCAGCUUCCCAGAAAGCCUUUCUCCAUCAUCCCAGCCCCACGAGAUCUUACCCGCUUCACUGGUAACACCCAGAAUCCUCAGCACAACUGCUACCACCAGGUACACAGUGAGGAGGUGGUCAUCAGCAACCCAGGAAGAGUGGCCUCACCAGAAACUGACCCUGCCAGACCUCGAUCUGAGACUUCCAGCCUCCAGAACUGUGGGACAUAAAUUCCUGUUGUUUAA
rnacentral:lncRNA from 1 species